UACGUAGGGAGCAAGCGUUGUCCGGAAUCAUUGGGCGUAAAGCGCGCGUAGGCGGCCCUGUAAGUCCGUUGUGAAAGUCAAAGGCUCAACCUUUGAAAGCCGAUGGAUACUGCAGGGCUAGAGUCCGGAAGAGGCGAGUGGAAUUCCGCGUGUAGCAGUGAAAUGCGUAGAGAUGCGGAGGAACACCGAUGGCGAAGGCAGCCCCCUGGGCUGACACUGACGCUCAGGCACGAAAGCGUGGGGAGCAAACAGG
rnacentral:rRNA from 1 species